rnacentral:rRNA from 1 species
UACGAAGGGGGCUAGCGUUGCUCGGAAUUACUGGGCGUAAAGGGCGCGUAGGCGGAUAGUUUAGUCAGAGGUGAAAGCCCAGGGCUCAACCUUGGAAUUGCCUUUGAUACUGGCUAUCUUGAGUUCGGGAGAGGUGAGUGGAAUGCCGAGUGUAGAGGUGAAAUUCGUAGAUAUUCGGCGGAACACCAGUGGCGAAGGCGACUCACUGGCCCCGAUACUGACGCUGAGGCGCGAAAAGCGUGGGGAGCAAACAGGG